rnacentral:misc_RNA from 1 species
UUGCACAGUGACUUAGGGCCAGCUGGGCCUCCUCUCCAGAGUGGCGUCUUUGAAGUUCCGCAAUCGGCACAGGUCUUCUUCUGCUGAUGUUCUCCUUCGGUUGAUCUGCUACUCAUAUCCUCAUUCUCUGAUCCUUUUUCACUUGGAUCCAGCAUUUCAAUGAACUACACUUGAGAUCUAAAAGAAACCCAGGUGAGAAAAGUAGAUAAGCUGAAGUGGGAAGUGAACGAAGAUGGUGAUUGAGAUAUAAUAAUAUCAGAAAGUCAAGCUGCUAAAGCACUAAAAGCUCUAAUUAAUGAUUGAAACAGAGAGCUGCUGACGGACAGGGAUCUAAGAAAUUUGCGGCUAUAAGCAAGAGAUCAAGUAAACAAAUCAAUAGCUAAGCCCACAAGUAGAGAAGGAAAUGAUCAAAGACUCUGCGAGAGAAAGAGAGA